UCCCUAUUUUUUAACCAUCCCUUCCAACUAUUCUCUUGUUUCUUCCUCGAAACCGAACCAGGAGGGAGAGAUCGAGGCGACGCGCUCGGAGUGGAUCGGCAAUGGCGUCGCAGAAGGAGCGCGAGAACUUCGUGUACGUCGCCAAGCUCGCGGAGCAAGCCGAGCGCUACGACGAGAUGGUGGAUGCGAUGAAGAAGGUCGCGAAGCUUGACGUGGAACUCACCGUGGAGGAGCGGAACCUGCUCUCGGUGGGCUACAAGAACGUGGUCGGCGCUAGGAGGGCUUCGUGGAGGAUCCUGUCUUCGAUCGAGCAGAAGGAGGAGGCGAAGGGGAACGAUCACCAUGUCAAGAGCAUCAAGGAGUACUGCCAGAAGGUGGAGUCGGAGCUCUCGAACAUCUGCACCGAUAUUAUUGCCCUGAUCGACGAGCAUCUCAUCCGCUCUUCAUCGGCCGGGGAAUCCUCUGUCUUCUACUACAAGAUGAAGGCCGAUUACUAUCGUUACCUGGCUGAGUUCAAGUUUGGCGAUGAGAAAAAAGAAGCUGCAGAGCAUUCUCUUAAAGCUUAUCAGGCAGCUACGAGUACAGCUGAGGCUGAUCUGCCUCCUACUCAUCCAAUUCGAUUGGGAUUAGCAUUGAAUUUCUCUGUAUUUUAUUAUGAGAUCAUGAAUUCACCUGAACGGGCUUGCCACCUUGCAAAACAAUCUUUUGAUGAAGCUAUUUCUGAGCUUGACACACUGAGUGAAGAAUCAUAUAAGGACAGUACUUUGAUCAUGCAACUGUUGAGGGAUAACCUUACCCUAUGGACUUCUGACAUCCCAGAUGAUGGAGAUGAUGCUAUCAAGGAGAGUAAUGGGAAGCCUGGUGCAGUUGAAGAUGCAGAGGAACCUUCAGCAUGAGAUGGAAUAGACGUCAUCUAUGUCCAUGUUAAGAACGAUCAACUUGAAUCGGAUCCAAGUGUAUCCUUGUACUUUGGACAUUGGGCAUCAUACAGGAUCCACUAGCAGUGGAUUCUAAGUGAAGAAGAUGGAACCUGGUGGAUGACUAUUCAGAUGAUGUCCUUGUCGUUUCAGUAUCAAUGGUUCUGGUUUUUAAAUUAUCUGUUAUUGGUUCCUGUUCCUGUUCUCUUUUAAUUGAACUUAAUUUGAGAAAUUUAUCCCAACUUGGAAAUUGAAAAUCCUGUGGCUUGUGCA